rnacentral:rRNA from 1 species
GUAGGUGGCAAGCGUUGUCCGGAAUUAUUGGGCGUAAAGCGCGCGCAGGCGGUCCUUUAAGUCUGAUGUGAAAGCCCACGGCUCAACCGUGGAGGGUCAUUGGAAACUGGGGGACUUGAGUACAGAAGAGGAAAGCGGAAUUCCAAGUGUAGCGGUGAAAUGCGUAGAGAUUUGGAGGAACACCAGUGGCGAAGGCGGCUUUCUGGUCAGUAACUGACGCUGAGGCGCGAAAGCGUGGGGAGCAAACAGGGAUUAGAUACCCUGGUAGUCCACGCCGUAAACGAUGAGUGCUAAGUGUUAGGGGGUUUCCCGCCCCUUAGUGCUGCAGCUAACGCAUUAAGCACUCCGCCUGGGGAGUACGGCCGCAAGGCUG